ensembl:lncRNA
UCCAGCUCCAGAAAUGACAUAAGAUUGAAUUUUUGCCUCUUUGCAUCCUGGAAAUAAAUGAGUAUGACACAGCUAUGACAUUAAGAGGAAAGAUAGAAUAUUCAAUAGACCUAUCACAGACCUUUCAUCACCCUGAUGGAUGUGGGACCUAGGGAACAGCCAACAGAAUGCAUUCACCAGUGAUCAUGACUAUUUCCUGGACAGAACAAAAUGCCAAUAACUUGGAUGCAGCAACUUCACAGGAACAUAUGAAAGACAUGCAACAUGGAAAACUUAUGGAAGAGCCAAGGCCCAGUGAGAACACAUGCUAAAAUAUGAAGAUGGAUAUUCACCAAACAUACUGUGAUAAUCAGCUCAUGAUGCAUAGGACAUCAUGAAAACACUGGGCUGGAUGAAGC